rnacentral:rRNA from 1 species
CCUACGGGUGGCAGCAGUGGGGAAUAUUGCACAAUGGAGGAAACUCUGAUGCAGCGAUGCCGCGUGAGGGAAGAAGGUUUUCGGAUUGUAAACCUCUGUCUUUGGGGACGAUAAUGACGGUACCCAAGGAGGAAGCUCCGGCUAACUACGUGCCAGCAGCCGCGGUAAUACGUAGGGAGCAAGCGUUAUCCGGAAUUACUGGGUGUAAAGGGAGUGUAGGCGGGACUGCAAGUCAGAUGUGAAAAUUAUGGGCUCAACUCAUAACCUGCAUUUGAAACUGUAGUUCUUGAGUGAAGUAGAGGUAAGCGGAAUUCCUAGUGUAGCGGUGAAAUGCGUAGAUAUUAGGAGGAACAUCAGUGGCGAAGGCGGCUUACUGGGCUUUUACAGACGCUGAGGCUCGAAAGCGUGGGGAGCAAACAGGAUUAGAUACCCGGUAGUC